CACACACAGAAUUUGACAGAAACGUUCUAUACGAUGAUGGUGACGUCAAUUGGCUUGUGCAUGGAGGCAUUGCUGUUCACUGUUGUAUCUCUUAGUCCAGGAUUUGUCUUGUUUUCAAAGUUCAAGAUAUCUGAAUGCGUUACAUUCCCAAAUUACAAUGAAGGCGAAGUAUUUUCCUCAUGGGCUCUGGUAUUGAUAGACUUCCUGCAGUGAUUGUAAACCCUGGAUUAUUAUUUAACUGCAAUCAUUGAUACGAUUCUGUUGAAUAAUGUAAACUUGGGUUUUCAUAAACUUGUGUCAUAAUCCAUUUCCAUGUUUUCACUGGGGUCAUUGCGUCAUGCAUAUUUGUAGUGAGCAGAUAGUUAAUGGUCAUGUUAUGCGACGACUUUCUCGAAGGCUAGAUGUCUCCAGUCGGGCAGGCUCUAGAGUUGGACAAAAUUUCAAGGCUCGUGGCAUUAGGUCCUGAGUGGGGUUCUGGCUUUUCACUGCUUUCCUGGUCUUAGAAUGUUUGUUCCUCUGGAAAUUAAUGGAGUGGAAUCACUUUGAGAGAUUUGAGAAGGACCUCCAAAGUUUGGAAUGAGGUUUACUUUGAGUCCUGGUUGUUUGUCUCUCUUUUCUUACUUGGUAGUUGCCGGGGGUAUGUCAUCAGCUGUGGCACCCUUUGGCUGAUGCCUUGUCUAGUAGAUAGAAUUAUGCUAUCCAUUGAAAUAACAUAUAAGUCAGUUGCAAACGUGUUACUCGAUUUGUUUUACAAGGACCGGAUGUAAUUCAGGAAAGGGUUGAAGUGAGUUGGUUGUUUUGUCCAAGCUACCAUUUGAUAAAACUCAAGUUCUCCAACAAA